rnacentral:tRNA from 2 species
GGCCCCAUCGACUAACGGUUAGGUCACCACCCUUUCAAGGUGGCUGUACGGGUUCAAAUCCCGUUGGGGUCA